UGAUAAAUAAAUGACUUUUAUUGAAAAGAAAAACUUAACAGGACUGUGCCAGACAGCUGGGAUGAAGAAUGACCAUCUGGGCAAAUCCUCCUUGGAACGCAGAUCCUCUUGUUACGGUCUCAGUGGAGGAAGUCAGUACCAUCUCUUUCAUAAAUCUCAAUCUAUUUGAGGACAUCCUUCAACUUUAUCUUUAGAGAGAAUGGCCACAUUCUGCUGGCUGUGACCCAGUCUCUCCAGAGCCCAGCCGUGGACAUAAAAUUUGGAAAAGGGCCUGGCGAAUGCCACGUCUAGAGAAGGAUCAUUUCCUGGGGCUUUUGGGUUAUGUUCCUAUUAAUAUAAAUCAUCGUCUCCAUUUCAGAAGAAGAACCAAAACACAUCUGAUCUGCUCUUAAAGGAAACUCAAUUGUGACAAGCAGAGGAAACUAAAGAGAUCUGAGCUGAAAAGGAUCAUACCAGAUUUAUUUCAUUGCUGUAGAGCCAGUCCCACCACACUGCCUGGGCACAUAGAAGGCAUGUUUUGUUAAUUUAUGCAGUCAAUACAAACUAAUUGAUUGCAGAUCUUCAAUCCUUUGUAAUUCCAAACUCCCAAAAUGCUCUGAAAACCAAAAGAUUUUCUGUAAGCUGGCAGCAAGCUCAUUGAACUCACCGGAACGGAUGCAUGGCAGUCCCCAGUCUUUAUGAUCUGCCUUAAUUGUGACUACAGUCUUCUCCCCUCAUCCAUAGUUUCUUUUUCCGAGGCUUCUGUUACCAAUGGUCAACAACAGUCCAAAAAUAUUAAAUGGAAAAAUCCAGAACUAAAA
rnacentral:lncRNA from 10 species